UACAGAGGGUGCGAGCGUUAAUCGGAAUUACUGGGCGUAAAGCGUGCGUAGACGGCUACCUAAGUCGGGUGUGAAAGCCCCGGGCUCAACCUGGGAAUUGCAUUCGAGACUGAAUAGCUAGGGUACGGUAGAGGGAAGUGGAAUUUCCGGUGUAGCGGUGAAAUGCGUAGAUAUCGGAAGGAACAUCAGUGGCGAAAGCGACUUCCUGGACCAGUACCGACGUUCAGGCCCGAAAGCGUGGGGAGCAAACAGG
rnacentral:rRNA from 1 species